rnacentral:rRNA from 1 species
GAUGAACGCUGGCGGCGUGCCUAAUACAUGCAAGUCGAGCGAACAGACGAGGAGCUUGCUCCUCUGACGUUAGCGGCGGACGGGUGAGUAACACGUGGAUAACCUACCUAUAAGACUGGGAUAACUUCGGGAAACCGGAGCUAAUACCGGAUAAUAUAUUGAACCGCAUGGUUCAAUAGUGAAAGACGGUUUUGCUGUCACUUAUAGAUGGAUCCGCGCCGCAUUAGCUAGUUGGUAAGGUAACGGCUUACCAAGGCAACGAUGCGUAGCCGACCUGAGAGGGGGAUCGGCCACACUGGAACUGAGACACGGUCCAGACUCCUACGGGAGGCAGCAGUAGGGAAUCUUCCGCAAUGGGCGAAAGCCUGACGGAGCAACGCCGCGUGAGUGAUGAAGGUCUUCGGAUCGUAAAACUCUGUUAUUAGGGAAGAACAAAUGUGUAAGUAACUAUGCACGUCUUGACGGUACCUAAUCAGAAAGCCGCGGCUAACUACGUG